UCACAACAAGCCCAGCCCACCGACACAUCUAUAUAUAACCCUCUGCCUGCAGCAACCUCAGCUCUGCAGCAGGAGGUGCUGACCCCCGGGGAGGAUGGAGGUUCCUUGAAGUGCCAGCAGCUGGGAUUGGUGGUCAAACAGGACAGCAGGGCCUGGCUAUGCUUCACUUGGAUUGUAAGGUCUGCUCCAGCACUCAGAGAGAACCAGAUGUUGGUGUGCCAUCAUUAAACCUGCAGCGAUGGGGAGCCAAACUUACCUCUAGUCCCAGCUCUUCAUGGAGAGAUGUCCCUGGGGGGCCCAGCAGCGACAGAUCAGGCUCAAUGCCACAAAGAGGGUCAAGAACAAACCUUUGGCUCUUCAUGAACUGCUUGGAGGAAAAGGCAGCAGCAGGGCAAAAUGACAGGAAAUGCAAAGCUAUUAAAACAUACUUUGAUAUCCAAGCUAUUUACAUCCUGAGAUAGCCAAACAUACCACGGUGUCU